GGGUUUCUGCUAUGUGUCAGAAGCUGCCAGGAGGAGUCCAGCAGCAUCCAAACCAGAGACUGGAUUUCUCCUUAAGGCUGGCUAUCGAGCUGUCUCACGAAGUAUGACUCAAGUGACAUCUCUACUGAUCUCAUCAAAGUCUUUUCCAGAGGCUUCAAGGAAAGAUGGAGAGAUAAGGACUUGGCAUUGCUAACUGACUGCAAGGCAAGGACUGUAUCAGCAGGAUGAGGGCUGCCCAGCAGAGUCCAAGGAGGCGGCAGGAUGCCAUCUGUCUGAGUAAAGACUCCAACAGAACCGUGGCAUAUCAGGAGGAUUUCUAAUAUGGAAAUAGGCACAGGAGAAUUUCAGAAGCCUCCUCAGGUCUUGCAGUGGUCUCAAGCCUAGGAUAUUGCAAUUAUAAAAAGAUUUUGAUCUACUCAUGUCUCUUUGCUGUAUAUUUGACCAAACUUAUUAUGAUUUUUCAUAACUAAGGAAUAUUCUGCUAUCAGGAAUUGGACUUAACAAACCAGCUAAUGUAAGUUUCCAGGC
rnacentral:lncRNA from 1 species